rnacentral:rRNA from 1 species
CCCUGGUUGAUCCUGCCAGUAGUUAUAUGCUUGUCUCAAAGAUUAAGCCAUGCAUGUCUCAGUGCAAGCCGUAUUAGGGCGAUACCGCGAAUGGCUCAAUAUAUCAGUUUUGGUUCCUUAGAUCUUACUCAGUUACUUGGAUAACUGUGGUAAUUCUAGAGCUAAUACAUGCAAUCAGAACUCUGACCAGUGAUGGGACGAGUGCUUUUAUUAGAUCAAAACCAAUCGACGGAGGGCCUCGCGUUCGAAGUCGUUAAUUUUGAUGAAUCUGGAUAACUUUUGCCGAUCGCACGGUCCAGCACCGGCGACGCAUCUUUCAAAUGUCUGCCUUAUCAACUUUCGAUGGUAGUUUCUGCGACUACCAUGGUUGUCACGGGUAACGGGGAAUCAGGGUUCGAUUCCGGAGAGGGAGCCUGAGAAACGGCUACCACAUCCAAGGAAGGCAGCAGGCGCGCAAAUUACCCACUCCCGGCACGGGGAGGUAGUGACGAAAAAUAACGAUACGGGACUCUUACGAGGCCUCGUAAUCGGAAUGAGUACACUUUAAAUAUUUUAACGAGGAACAAUUGGAGGGCAAGUCUGGUGCCAGCAGCCGCGGUAAUUCCAGCUCCAAUAGCGUAUACUAAAAUUGUUGCGGUUAAAAAGCUCGUAGUUGCAUUUGUGCGCCGCGCUGUCGGUGCACCGCAUCCGCGGUGAUACUGACACGUUUGCGGAGCAUAUCGUCGGUGAGCCGACGGUCAAACGUCGGUUCAAUAUCAAAAUCCUAUCGCGGUGCUCUUCAGUGAGUGUCGAGAUGGGCCGACAAUUUUACUUUGAACAAAUUAGAGUGCUCAAAGCGGGCUCAAAAUGCUGCUUGAAUAUUUCGUGCAUGGAAUAAUAGAAUAUGAUCUCGGUUCUAUUUUGUUGGUUUUCAGAACUCCGAGGUAAUGAUUAAUAGGGAUAACUGGGGGCAUUCGUAUUGCGACGUUAGAGGUGAAAUUCUUGGAUCGUCGCAAGACGAACAUCAGCGAAAGCAUUUGCCAAAGGUGUUUUCAUCAAUCAAGAACGAAAGUUAGAGGUUCGAAGGCGAUUAGAUACCGCCCUAGUUCUAACCGUAAAUAUGUCAUCUAGCGAUCCGCCGACGUUACUACAAUGGCUCGGCGGGCAGCUUUCGGGAAACCAAAGAUUUUGGACUCCGGGGGGAGUAUGGUUGCAAAGCUGAAACUUAAAGGAAUUGACGGAAGGGCACCACCAGGAGUGGAGCCUGCGGCUUAAUUUGACUCAACACGGGAAAUCUCACCAGGCCCGGACACCGGAAGGAUUGACAGAUUAACAGCUCUUUCUUGAUUCGGUGGGUGGUGGUGCAUGGCCGUUCUUAGUUGGUGGAGCGAUUUGUCUGGUUAAUUCCGGUAACGAACGAGACUCUAGCCUGCUAAAUAGGCGUCGUCAUUUAGGUGUGCGUGGCUCACGUCACGCAACUCACUGGCGACGUAUUAAAAUUCUUCUUAGAGGGACCGGCGGCUUCGAGCCGCACGAGAUUGAGCAAUAACAGGUCUGUGAUGCCCUUAGAUGUCCUGGGCCGCACGCGCGCUACACUGAAGGAAUCAGCAUGUUCUCCCAGGCCUAGAGGCCCGGGCAACCCGUUGAAACUCCUUCGUGCUGGGGAUUGGGGUUUGCAAUUAUCCCCCAUAAACGAGGAAUUCCUAGUAAGCGCGAGUCAUAAGCUCGCGUUGAUUACGUCCCUGCCCUUUGUACACACCGCCCGUCGCUACUACCGAUUGAAUGAUUUAGUGAGGUCUUCGGACCGACACGCGGUGGCUUCACGGCCGUCGGCGUUGCUGGGAAGUUGACCAAACUUGAUCAUUUAGAGGAAGUAAAAGUCGUAACAAGGUUUCCGUAGGGGAACCUGCGGAAG